rnacentral:rRNA from 1 species
AUCCUGGCUCAGGAUGAACGCUAGCUACAGGCUUAACACAUGCAAGUCGAGGGGAAACGAUAUUGGAAGCUUGCUUCCGAUAGGCGUCGACCGGCGCACGGGUGAGUAACGCGUAUCCAACCUGCCCACCACUUGGGGAUAACCUUGCGAAAGUAAGACUAAUACCCAAUGAUAUCUCUAGAAGACAUCUGAAAGAGAUUAAAGAUUUAUCGGUGAUGGAUGGGGAUGCGUCUGAUUAGCUUGUUGGCGGGGUAACGGCCCACCAAGGCGACGAUCAGUAGGGGUUCUGAGUGGAAGGUCCCCCACAUUGGAACUGAGACACGGUCCAAACUCCUACGGGAGGCAGCAGUGAGGAAUAUUGGUCAAUGGGCGAGAGCCUGAACCAGCCAAGUAGCGUGCAGGAUGACGGCCCUAUGGGUUGUAAACUGCUUUUAUAAGGGAAUAAAGUGAGUCUCGUGAGACUUUUUGCAUGUACCUUAUGAAUAAGGACCGGCUAAUUCCGUG